AUUUAUAUAGCGCGCUCAUAACUCAACUAUUUGUAUAAAACUUCCAUUAACUAAUCUGAGAUGAUGCUGCAUCAACUUAAAUCUUACAGAAAUUGAACAAACAUCUGGACCAGAUUAAACAGACAUGGUUUCACCUGAAUCUUUCAGAACUCUCAGAGACUUAAAAAUUUAUACUAUACCAUGUUUUAAAGGCAUGGCAAACCUUUAGACCGGUCAGUCUCCAAGAGCCCUUAGUAACACAGGUAAAAACCUUUUGUCCAUGAUGUCUGAUUCAGGCUAUAUACCACAAUUUAAAAUAACACAUAAUGUGAGACAUAGAAGACACAAGCAGUAGUUAUUACACUGGAUCAUUU